CUCUUUCCGUAGUAUCCCGGCUCAAACGGCGCGCGCGCACGGGACAGGCGUUGCGCGCUCCGGGCCAUGGCGGUCCACGUACUUUGGUUGGUGGCUGCUUUGGUGUUGAGAGGAGUGAAAACGCAAAAUUACGACUAUGAAAGAGGCGACGUAGAA